GAUGAACGCUGGCGGCGUGCCUAAUACAUGCAAGUCGAGCGAACGGACGAGAGGCUUGCUUCUCUGAUGUUAGCGGCGGACGGGUGAGUAACACGUGGAUAACCUACCUAUAAGACUGGGAUAACUUCGGGAAACCGUAGCUAAUACCGGAUAAUAUUUUGAACCGCAUGGUUCAAAAGUGAAAGACGGUCUUGCUGUCACUUAUAGAUGGAUCCGCGCUGCAUUAGCUAGUUGGUAAGGUAACGGCUUACCAAGGCAACGAUGCAUAGCCGACCUGAGAGGGUGAUCGGCCACACGGGAACUGAGACACGGUCCAGACUCCUACGGGAGGCAGCAGUAGGGAAUCUUCCGCAAUGGGCGAAAGCCUGACGGAGCAACGCCGCGUGAGUGAUGAAGGUCUUCGGAUCGUAAAACUCUGUUAUUAGGGAAGAACAUAUGUGUAAGUAACUGUGCACAUCUUGACGGUACCUAAUCAGAAAGCCACGGCUAACUACGU
rnacentral:rRNA from 1 species